rnacentral:tRNA from 1 species
GCCGACGUAGCUCAGUUGGUAGAGCAGCUGAUUCGUAAUCAGCAGGUCGCGGGUUCAAAUCCCUUCGUCGGCU